rnacentral:rRNA from 1 species
AUUGAACGCUGGCGGCAUGCUUUACACAUGCAAGUCGAACGGUAACAGGCCUUCUGGUGCUGACGAGUGGCGAACGGGUGAGUAAUGCAUCGGAACGUGCCCAGAGGUGGGGGAUAACGCAGCGAAAGCUGUGCUAAUACCGCAUGUGAUCUGAGGAUGAAAGCGGGGGACCAAGCAGCAAUGUUUGGCCUCGCGCCUCUGGAGCGGCCGAUGUCAGAUUAGGUAGUUGGGGGGGUAAAGGCCUACCAAGCCGACGAUCUGUAGCUGGUCUGAGAGGACGACCAGCCACACUGGGACUGAGACACGGCCCAGACUCCUACGGGAGGCAGCAGUGGGGAAUUUUGGACAAUGGGCGCAAGCCUGAUCCAGCAAUGCCGCGUGCGGGAAGAAGGCCUUCGGGUUGUAAACCGCUUUUGUACGGAACGAAAAGGCUCUGGCUAAUACCUGGGGCUGAUGACGGUACCGUAAGAAUAAGCACCGGCUAACUACGUG